AACGCGAAGAACCUUACCUACCCUUGACAUCUAGCGAAUCUGGGAUAAGCGCCCGGAGUGCCGAAAGGAGCGCUAAGACAGGUGCUGCAUGGCUGUCGUCAGCUCGUGUCGUGAGAUGUUGGGUUAAGUCCCGUAACGAGCGCAACCCCUGUCCUUCGUUGCCAUUCCGAAAGGAGGAACUCGAAGGAGACUGCCGGUGAUAAACCGGAGGAAGGUGGGGAUGACGUCAAGUCAUCAUGGCCUUUAUGGGUAGGGCCACACACGUGCUACAAUGGAGCGUACAGAGGGUCGCCAACCCGCGAGGGGGAGCUAAUCCUACAAAACGCUUCGUAGUCCGGAUCGGAGUCUGCAACUCGACUCCGUGAAGUUGGAAUCGCUAGUAAUCGCAAAUCAGAAUGUUGCGGUGAAUACGUUCCCGGGCCUUGUACACACCGAGACGAC
rnacentral:rRNA from 1 species